rnacentral:rRNA from 1 species
AGUAACACGUGGGUAACCUGCCCUUCACUGGGGGACAACCGAGGGAAACUUCGGCUAAUACCGCAUGAUGUGCGUUGCUUCAAGGCGACGUACCAAAACUCCGGUGGUGAAGGAUGGGCCCGCGGCAGAUUAGCUUGUUGGUGGGGUAAUGGCCUACCAAGGCGACGAUCUGUAGCUGGUCUGAGAGGACGAUCAGCCACACUGGGACUGAGACACGGCCCAG